AGCGAACGCUGGCGGCAGGCCUAACACAUGCAAGUCGAACGAACUCUUCGGAGUUAGUGGCGGACGGGUGAGUAACACGUGGGAACGUGCCUUUAGGUUCGGAAUAACUCAGGGAAACUUGUGCUAAUACCGAAUGUGCCCUUCGGGGGAAAGAUUUAUCGCCUUUAGAGCGGCCCGCGUCUGAUUAGCUUGUUGGUGGGGUAAUGGCCCACCAAGGCGACGAUCAGUAGCUGGUCUGAGAGGAUGACCAGCCACAUUGGGACUGAGACACGGCCCAAACUCCUACGGGAGGCAGCAGUGGGGAAUCUUGCGCAACGGGCGAAAGCCUGACGCAGCCAUGCCGCGUGGAUGAUGAAGGUCUUAGGAUUGUAAAAUCCUUUCACCGGUGAAGAUAAUGACUGUAGCCGGAGAAGAAGCCCCGGCUAACUUCGUGCCAGCCGCCGCGGUAAUAC
rnacentral:rRNA from 1 species